rnacentral:rRNA from 1 species
AACGAACGCUGGCGGCAGGCCUAACACAUGCAAGUCGAGCGCUCACUUCGGUGGGAGCGGCGGACGGGUUAGUAACGCGUGGGAACGUGCCCAGAUCUGCGGAAUAGCCACUGGAAACGGUGAGUAAUACCGCAUACGCCCUUCGGGGGAAAGAUUUAUCGGAUUUGGAUCGGCCCGCGUUAGAUUAGGUAGUUGGUGAGGUAACGGCUCACCAAGCCUACGAUCUAUAGCUGGUUUUAGAGGAUGAUCAGCAACACUGGGACUGAGACACGGCCCAGACUCCUACGGGAGGCAGCAGUGGGGGGAAUCUUGGACAAUGGGGCGCAAGCCUGAUCCAGCCAUGCCGCGUGAGUGAUGAAGGCCUUAGGGUCGUAAAGCUCUUUCGCCUGUGAUGAUAAUGACAGUAGCAGGUAAAGAAACCCCGGCUAACUCCGUGCCAGCGCCGCGGUAA